UAUUAGAGGGGGCCGAAAAAAGUACUUUAGAAGUGGUCGAUCGGCCCCCUCAACUUCUUUAUUUUUUAAGGGUAAUUUAAAGAUUUUUCAAGUUAAAAAUGCAAGUUACGUCCGCAAGUUUCUGUACAUUUUAACAUCAAAGAGUAAUGGAGGUAGCCAUGAAAGCUUGCAUAUUCUGAGGGGAAGCCUGAUAAUUCUGAUCAAACCUACGCCAACAGUUUGAAGCAGAUUUGGCAAACAUGCUUAGAGUGACCUCUAGAAUUGAGAAUUGUUGCUAAAAGAAUUAGGAGCUGGGUGUCCUCCACGAGGACCACGACCACGGCCCUGCCUCUGGAAAAAUUAUUUGGAUGAGGUUUUGAGCGCUGUUGAGUGUUGGAUCAAAAUUUGCCGUGGGAAGAGCAUGGUCCGAAGAUGUAGCUUGUUGUUCUAAGCAUAAUUCAUGGGUUGAGAGAGAUACCCAUAUAGAUCAUCUAAGGAGAUGGAGUCCAACCUGGUAGUAACCGACGUGACUAGAGAAUCACAGUCAGACGGUAGUGCAGCCAAAAUAUAAGAGGUGACUUCCGAAUCUCCAAUGGGUUGGCCUGCCAAUAGCAACAAGUGUGUCAGCAAGAGACUUUGCUUUUUGAAAAUAAUCCUGAACAGAGACACAGAGAGAAAAGGAAGCAUCACAGCUUUCCAAGAAAAGUAGUUAUAUUUGGUUAAUAGCAGUUGAAGUUGCCGGGUGGUAUUGACUGGAGAAACAGUUGAUCGAGAUACGGGGAUAUUGGGACAGAAGAGUUUGUAGACUCUGGAGUAGCAUGAUAAUGGUGCAGGGAAGGUGUUUGAAGAAAGGACACAAAGACAAAACAGAGGAGAAAAAAUUGACGUUUAGUCGUUAUAGCCCUGGAUUGAAUCCCAUAAAUGCUGUGGGCGUUCUGUGCAACGGAAUUGGUCCUGAUAUUGUCUUUUGCCCACUCGCAUGCCAAACUUCUAAUCCGCAACCUAUAGACCGCAGUCCAGAAACAGAAGAAAGGAGAACAAUACUUCCUGCUCCUGAUGCUUUCAGAAGAGGGUGUGCAAGUUGGCUCAUGUGGUAAGCAGAUUCGAAGUUGGUACUCAUGACCAAUGAGAAAUCUUCAGCUGUUAUCUCCAAGAAUCUUAACGAGAAGCUAAAAAAGAGAAGCACAACACUUUUUUCUUACUUAAUGAGUUAUUAGCGAAAAAAGCCAAAGACUUACAAGGAUAUUCAGUUUGCCAUUAAAUUGAUGAGAAACUGUGUUCAUAAGCUCAUUUCUUUGGGCUCGAGAAGAAAGGUCACAGACUGAACCAGUGACUCGGAAGCCUUUUAUCUCCCACUCGCGCAAGCACUUAUUAAUAUCAGCUUCAUUUCGAGAGCAUGUGUGCACAGCCGCCCCAAACCUUGCCAAUUCCUCCACAAUAGCAUACCUAUAUAUAUAUAUAUACAAACACCCCUCCGCUUGUCUCAAAACAAAAAACAGCAAAAAUAAAAGCUUGUAAAAGAGAAAUUAAACAGAGAGAAAACGAACCCGAUUCCUUUGGUUCCACCAGUAACAAGAGCUGUCUUCCCCUGAAGAGACCAUCU